ACAUUAUUUACUUACCCUAACAAGGAACUUCUUGUGGUUUUUAUUUUUUUUGUCUUUCUUUUUUUUUUAAAUGUGGCCUUCGCAAGAAACCCUCAGUGCCCAGAGCAUAUUUUUCAUCAUCUGGAAGCCAGAGCCAGAGUGGGAGCCCAACCAAGAUUGGAACCAAAAGUGAAGUCCUCACCUUCAGCACCAUCCCUGAGAUACCUGUUCCUUUAUGGUCUUUUAACAUUCAGUUUUGUGAAUGUUAAAUGUCUACUACACACAGCAUUUUUUUAAGUGUACACAGUUUGAAAGGAAUAAAUGCACCCUCAGCCAGGGGAAAUGGAGAAACAAAAAGGCUGUACCUGGUGUAAGCCUUGCUGAUGGCAGAACAAGUGGGCCAAUUCUGUGUGUCACAGAAUUGCAGCGAUUCUGGUAGGAGAUUUUCACGACUUCAUAAGAACUUAAUAGUAAUCAAAGAGCUUUUCCUCCUUCUGUUAAAAAAGAAAAAGUAGGGGGCUGAGCGGACAGGGGAAAUCUUUCACCUGAGAGUUAGAAGGGACCAGUUUCCCAUUCACAGGCUAGUCCUGCAGGACCACGUCAUUAGCCAUGAAUGCUUUGUUCUUUUGCAGAAUGUUGUGCAGCCCUGAUGAGUUUGGCUUUGAGUGUCUCCCUGGAGGAGGGAAGACUUAGUGUUGGGAACACAGCAGGCUAAGCCUGUGUUCUAAGGAGAGUGUACAGUUGCUAAUAAAGUGUUUGGAUUUUGCUUUUCUUCUUUUCA
ensembl:lncRNA